CACGUAGGCGGGUCGUUAAGUCGGGGGUGAAAUCCCAGAGCUCAACUCUGGAACUGCCUUCGAUACUGGCGAUCUUCGAGUCCGGGAGAGGUGAGUGGAACUCCGAGUGUAGAGGUGAAAUUCGUAGAUAUUCGGAAGAACACCAGUGGCGAAGGCGGCUCACUGGCCCGGUACUGACGCUGAGGUGCGAAAGCGUGGGGGGCAAACA
rnacentral:rRNA from 1 species